rnacentral:rRNA from 1 species
ACGCUGGCGGCGUGCCUAAUCCAUGCAAGUCGAGCGAACGGACGAGAAGCUUGCUUCUCUGAUGUUAGCGGCGGACGGGUGAGUAACACGUGGAUAACCUACCUAUAAGACUGGGAUAACUUCGGGAAACCGGAGCUAAUACCGGAUAAUAUUUUGAACCGCAUGGUUCAAAAGUGAAAGACGGUCUUGCUGUCACUUAUAGAUGGAUCCGCGCUGCAUUAGCUAGUUGGUAAGGUAACGGCUUACCAAGGCAACGAUGCAUAGCCGACCUGAGAGGGUGAUCGGCCACACUGGAACUGAGACACGGUCCAGACUCCUACGGGAGGCAGCAGUAGGGAAUCUUCCGCAAUGGGCGAAAGCCUGACGGAGCAACGCCGCGUGAGUGAUGAAGGUCUUCGGAUCGUAAAACUCUGUUAUUAGGGAAGAACAUAUGUGUAAGUAACUGUGCACAUCUUGACGGUACCUAAUCAGAAAGCCACGGCUAACUACGUG